rnacentral:rRNA from 1 species
UACGAAGGGGGCUAGCGUUGUUCGGAAUUACUGGGCGUAAAGGGCGCGUAGGCGGUACUUCAAGUCAGGCGUGAAAGCCCCCGGGCUCAACCUGGGAACCGCGCUUGAGACUGGAGAACUAGAGUUCGGGAGAGGAUGGUGGAAUUCCCAGUGUAGAGGUGAAAUUCGUAGAUAUUCGCAAGAACACCAGUGGCGAAGGCGGCUCACUGGCCCGAUACUGACGCUGAGGUGCGAAAGCGUGGGGAGCAAACAGG